AGCGAACGCUGGCGGCAGGCUUAACACAUGCAAGCCGAACGGGCAUCUUCGGAUGUCAGUGGCAGACGGGUGAGUAACACGUGGGAACGUACCCUUCGGUUCGGAAUAACUCAGGGAAACUUGAGCUAAUACCGGAUACGCCCUUUUGGGGAAAGGUUUACUGCCGAAGGAUCGGCCCGCGUCUGAUUAGCUUGUUGGUGGGGUAACGGCCUACCAAGGCGACGAUCAGUAGCUGGUCUGAGAGGAUGAUCAGCCACACUGGGACUGAGACACGGCCCAGACUCCUACGGGAGGCAGCAGUGGGGAAUAUUGGACAAUGGGCGCAAGCCUGAUCCAGCCAUGCCGCGUGAGUGAUGAAGGCCUUAGGGUUGUAAAGCUCUUUUGUCCGGGACGAUAAUGACGGUACCGGAAGAAUAAGCCCCGGCUAACUUCGUG
rnacentral:rRNA from 1 species